rnacentral:rRNA from 1 species
GAACACACGUGGUCAAGGAGAAGAUCCUAAGGUUAGCGAGUGAACUAUAGCUAAGGAACUCUGCAAAUUCAUCCCGUAAGUUCGCAAGAAGGGAUGCUCAAUGUAACAGUUGAGCCGCAGUGAAGAACGAGGGGGGACUGUUUAACUAAAACACAGCUCUAUGCUAAAUCGCAAGAUGAUGUAUAUGGGGUGACACCUGCCCAGU